rnacentral:misc_RNA from 1 species
GUAGGUGAACCUGCGGAAGGAUCAUUAAAAAAGGAUGUGCUUUGCGCAUAACUCCUCUCACACCUCUCGCCCCCUGAAAAGGGCUGGGGGUUGAAUGAGUCCCUUAACCCCUUUGUGAACUUUAUAUCUUAUGCUUCGGCAGCACGCUCCUUCCUCUGCGGGAGGAGUUGGUAAGGCUGCCGGUAGCCCAUUUAAAUCCAUUUUA